CGAAGGGGGCUAGCGUUGCUCGGAAUUACUGGGCGUAAAGGGUGCGUAGGCGGGUCUUUAAGUCAGAGGUGAAAUCCUGGAGCUCAACUCCAGAACUGCCUUUGAUACUGAGGAUCUUGAGUUCGGGAGAGGUGAGUGGAACUGCGAGUGUAGAGGUGAAAUUCGUAGAUAUUCGCAAGAACACCAGUGGCGAAGGCGGCUCACUGGCCCGAUACUGACGCUGAGGCACGAAAGCGUGGGGAGCAAACAGGAUUAGAUACCCUGGUAGUCCACGCCGUAAACGACGAAUGCCAGCCGUUAGUGGGUUUACUCACUAGUGGCGCAGCUAACGCUUUAAGCAUUCCGCCUGGGGAUACGGUCGCAAGAUUA
rnacentral:rRNA from 1 species